rnacentral:rRNA from 1 species
CCUACGGGAGGCAGCAGUGGGGGAUAUUGCACAAUGGGGGGAACCCUGAUGCAGCGACGCCGCGUGGGUGAAGAAGCGCCUCGGCGCGUAAAGCCCUGUCAGCAGGGAAGAAAAUGACGGUACCUGAAGAAGAAGCCCCGGCUAACUACGUCCCAGCAGCCGCGGGAAUACGUAGGGGGCAAGCGUUAUCCGGAUGUACUGGGGGUAAAGGGGGCGCAGACGGCGAUGCAAGCCAGGAGUGAAAGCCCGGGGCCCAACCCCGGGACUGCUUUUGGAACUGCGUGGCUGGAGUGCAGGAGGGGCAGGCGGAAUUCCUGGUGUAGCGGUGAAAUGCGUAGAUAACAGGAGGAACACCGGUGGCGAAGGUGGCCUGCUGGACUGCAACUGACGUUGAGGCCCGAAAGCGUGGGGAGCAAACAGGAUUAGAUACCCCUGUAGUC